UUCCGGUUGAUCCUGCCGGACCCUACUGCUACCGGGGUGGGACUAAGACAUGCGAGUUGUGCGUCUCUAAGCUAUGGUAGAGACGCGGCGUACGGCUCAGUAACACGUGGCUAACCUACCCUUAGGACGGGGACAACCCCGGGAAACUGGGGCUAAUACCCGAUAGGUGAGGAGGCCUGGAAUGGUUCCUAGUCGAAAAGGCGUUGAAACCAUGCUUUUCGACGUCGCCUAAGGAUGGGGCCGCGCCCGAUCAGGUUGUUGGUGGGGUAACGGCUCACCAAGCCUAUAACCGGUACGGGCCGUGAGAGCGGGAGCCCGGAGAUGGGCACUGAGACAAGGGCCCAGGCCCUACGGGGCGCAGCAGUCGCGAAAACUCCGCAAUGCGCGAAAGCGUGACGGGGCUACCCCGAGUGCCGUCCGCUGAGGAUGGCUUUUCCCCGGUGUAAUGAGCCGGGGGAAUAAGGAGAGGGCAAGUCUGGUGUCAGCCGCCGCGGUAAUACCAGCUCUCCGAGUGGUAGGGAUGAUUAUUGGGCUUAAAGCGUCCGUAGCCGGCUUGGCAAGUCUCCUGUUAAAUUCAGCGACCUAAUCGUUGAGCCGCGGGAGAUACUACUAGGCUAGGAGGCGGGAGAGGCCGACGGUAUUCUCGGGGUAGGGGUGAAAUCCUAUAAUCCCGGGAGGACCACCAGUGGCGAAGGCUGUCGGCUAGAACGCGCUCGACGGUGAGGGACGAAAGCUGGGGGAGCGAACCGGAUUAGAUACCCGGGUAGUCCCAGCUGUAAACGAUGCGGGCUAGGUGUUGGGGUGGCUACGAGCCACUUCAGUGCCGCAGGGAAGCCGUUAAGCCCGCCGCCUGGGGAGUACGGCCGCAAGGCUGAAACUUAAAGGAAUUGGCGGGGGAGCACCACAAGGCGUGAAGCUUGCGGUUCAAUUGGAUUCAACGCCGGG
rnacentral:rRNA from 1 species